GUUUCCGUAGUGUAGCGGUUAUCACGUCUGCUUCACACGCAGAAGGUCACCGGUUCGAUCCCGGGCGGGAACA
rnacentral:tRNA from 1 species